rfam:Gossypium arboreum cultivar AKA8401 contig_9817_1, whole genome shotgun sequence.
AACCUAUGGUGAGGGCACCUUCUCAAUAAAUCCUUAUACCGAUCCCAUGCAUCAUAUAGCGUCCCUAAAUCCAUUUGCAUGAUGGAAGAGAUAUGAUUCCUCAACUU